GGAAGCCCGUCGAUAGGCUGAUGUGACUGCGAAUUGCUAAUAUAUCGACUACGCUCGUAGAAGCUCAAGUGACGUUGUCUCUGGACGUGGGUUCGAUUCCCACCGUCUCCACCA
rnacentral:tRNA from 1 species